rnacentral:misc_RNA from 1 species
GAUGAAGAACGUAGCAAAAUGCGAUAAGUAAUGUGAAUUGCAGAAUUCAGUGAAUCAUCGAAUCUUUGAACGCACAUUGCGCCCGCUGGUAUUCCGGCGGGCAUGCCUGUUCGAGCGUCAUUUCAACCCUCAAGCCCCCGGGUUUGGUGUUGGGGAUCGGCUCUGCCCUUCUGGGCGGUGCCGCCCCCGAAAUACAUUGGCGGUCUCGCUGCAGCCUCCAUUGCGUAGUAGCUAACACCUCGCAACUGGAACGCGGCGCGGCCAUGCCGUAAAACCCCAACUUCUGAAUGUUGACCUCGGAUCAGGUAGGAAUACCCGCUGAACUUAAGCAAAUCAAUAAGCGGAGGA